rnacentral:rRNA from 1 species
GACGAACCGUACGAACGUUAUUCGGAAUCACUGGGCUUAAAGGGUGCGUAGGCGGCGCGGAAAGUUGGGUGUGAAAGCCCUCGGCUCAACCGAGGAAUUGCGCUCAAAACUACCGUGCUUGAGGGAGAUAGAGGUGAGUGGAACUAAGGGUGGAGCGGUGAAAUGCGUUGAUAUCCUUAGGAACACCGGUGGCGAAAGCGACUCACUGGAUCUCUUCUGACGCUGAGGCACGAAAGCUAGGGUAGCGAACGGG